CAUUAGCUCCCCCAUCAGUCUUCAUUUUCCCUUUGUUCAUGUUUCAGACAAGUCUGCACUUCAUCAGUUUUAAAAGCAAGGAAUAAGAUCAAAAUAAGAAAACAGUUUGGAAAGUUUUCAGUCAUUUCUUCAAAUAAGGUUUCGUGAUCAUGGUAUCUCCCCUGCCAGGACCUGGCUGGGAAGAAGGAACAACAGAAAUGGCCUCAGCCCGAAGCCCUGGCAGCACUAACUUGUAUCACAAAAUGAUAGUCCCCC